GCCGCGGUGGUGAAAUUGGUAUACACGAUGGACUCAAAAUCCAUUGCUCGCAAGGGUGUGAGGGUUCGAGUCCCUCCCGCGGCACCA
rnacentral:tRNA from 1 species